rnacentral:rRNA from 1 species
UACGUAGGGCGCAAGCGUUGUCCGGAAUUAUUGGGCGUAAAGAGCUCGUAGGCGGUUUGUUGCGUCGGCUGUGAAAUCCCGAGGCUUAACCCCGGGUCUGCAUUCGAUACGGGCAGGCUAGAGUGUGGUAGGGGAGAUCGGAAUUCCUGGUGUAGCGGUGAAAUGCGCAGAUAUCAGGAGGAACACCGGUGGCGAAGGCGGAUCUCUGGGCCAUUACUGACGCUGAGGAGCGAAAGCGUGGGGAGCGAACAGG